UCAUUUGUCUCAGAUUGCAGAUUUGACACAUCAGUUGGAGAGGAUGUAGCUGUAUGUUCGGCAUUUGGGCAGGGAUCCAUAAUUGGCUAGUACUUUUGCUUCCCAACGACAUGAGGCUGGACCUUCAGGCACUGGUGGCUUUGCAGAUGGAGGAGAUCCCUUUUAUCAUCACCUGGAUAUGCAUGACAUGCCCACUCAAAAUGAUCUGGCCAAAGUUGUUCAGUUUGGUGACUCCAACACUUUUUUGGAUAGUCUGGACAUCCACUUGUAGGCAUCUUUUUAGUCAUAUGGCGCUUGUGCCCCAUUAUUUUAUACUUUCUAUUUUUAUUUUUUAACAUGUAUCGUAG
rnacentral:lncRNA from 1 species